rnacentral:lncRNA from 1 species
CCACGGGAGCUGCAGGGGCUGGUGAGUGCAGGGUGGGUCUGGGGUCCCUGAAAUGGAAUUAAAAAUAAAAAUUGGGGGUCUUGAGUGAAAAUUGGGGUUUAUGGAGGGAGUUGGGGGUCCCAGGGAAGGGUUUGGGGGUGUUCAGGUGCAGUUUGAGGUCCCUUAGAUGGGGAUUUGGGGUAGUGGGGUAAAUUUGAGGACCUUGAAUGCGAUUUGUGGGUUCUUUAAUUAAAUUUGGAGAUAAAAUCAGUGGCAUUUGGCAUCAUGAGGUUGGAUUUGGGGUCCUCAGAUGGGAUUUGGGGUUCAUGGGGGAACUUGGGGGUCCCAGGGAAGGGUUUGGGGGUGUUCAGGUGGAGUUUGAAGUCCCUUAGGGGAGAUUUGGGGUGGUGGGGUAAAUUUGAGGGCCUUGAAUGCAAUUCGUGAGUUCUUAAAUUGGAUUUGGAAAUAAUUAGUGGGAUUUGGCAUCAUGAGGUUGGAUUUGGGGGUCCCUGCAAUAGAGUUUGGGGUCCUGGGGUGAGAUUUGGGACCAUGGGAUGAGAUUUAAGGGUGCCAUGAUGGGAUUUGGGGUGCCGGGGUUAAUUUAAUAUUAGGAAGUUACUUGAGGGUCCUAGGGUGGGAUUUGGGGGGGAUCAAUUGUGCUUUGGGGUCCCAGGUUGGAAUUUGGUGUCCCUGGGGUGGGACUGGGGGGUCUCAGAGUGUGAUUUGAGGUUUCAGGGUGGGAUUUGGGGUCUCAAAGUGGGAUCUGGGAUCCCAGGUUGGUAUUUGGGGUGCCAAGUUGGUAUUUUGGGUUCCAUGCCGUGUUUUGAGGUCCCAGGUUGGUAUUUGGUUUUCCAUGCUGUAUUUUGGGGUGCCAGGUUGGUAUUUGGGGUGCCAGGUUGGUAUUUUGGGUUCCCUGCUGUAUUUUCAAGGUUGGUAUUUGGGGUCCUAGGUUGGUUUUUGGUUCCAUGCCGU